UGGGGAAUUUUGGACAAUGGGGGCAACCCUGAUCCAGCCAUCCCGCGUGUGCGAUGAAGGCCUUCGGGUUGUAAAGCACUUUUGUCCGGAAAGAAAUCCUUGGCUCUAAUACAGUCGGGGGAUGACGGUACCGGAAGAAUAAGCACCGGCUAACUACGUGCCAGCAGCCGCGGUAAUACGUAGGGUGCAAGCGUUAAUCGGAAUUACUGGGCGUAAAGCGUGCGCAGGCGGUUUGCUAAGACCGAUGUGAAAUCCCCGGGCUCAACCUGGGAACUGCAUUGGUGACUGGCAGGCUAGAGUAUGGCAGAGGGGGGUAGAAUUCCACGUGUAGCAGUGAAAUGCGUAGAGAUGUGGAGGAAUACCGAUGGCGAAGGCAGCCCCCUGGGCCAAUACUGACGCUCAUGCACGAAAGCGUGGGGAGCAAACAGGAUUAGAUACCCUGGUAGUCCACGCCCUAAACGAUGUCAACUAGUUGUUGGGGAUUCAUUUCCUUAGUAACGUAGCUAACGCGUGAAGUUGACCGCCUGGGGAGUACGGUCGCAAGAUUAAAACUCAAAUGAAUUGACGGGGUCAUAGCUGUUUCCU
rnacentral:rRNA from 1 species